UACGAAGGGUGCAAGCGUUAAUCGGAAUUACUGGGCGUAAAGGGUGCGUAGGCGGUUCGUUAAGUCUGUCGUGAAAUCCCCGGGCUCAACCUGGGAAUGGCGAUGGAUACUGGCGAGCUAGAGUGUGUCAGAGGAUGGUGGAAUUCCCGGUGUAGCGGUGAAAUGCGUAGAGAUCGGGAGGAACAUCAGUGGCGAAGGCGACCAUCUGGGACAACACUGACGCUGAAGCACUAAAGCGUGGGGAGCAAACAGG
rnacentral:rRNA from 1 species